CUAGAUUCCUGAACACAUUCAGACCUGCCACAGCAACCCAGCUCUGAACUCCCUUCAAGUAAGACAAGGCUGCUCUAUGCCAAAGGAAAUAAGAUUAAAGCAACACAGGAAGAGUUCUGGUUGGCAAUAAGACACAAUGGAUAUAUCUUGCGUGGGAUUUGAAAGGAAGAGUAGAAAAAUCUACAUGAGUACUCUUGGGGGAAAAGAGAUCUCCCUCUGUCACCCAGGCUGGAUUGCAAAGGCAUGAUCAUGGCUUACUGCAGCCUCAACCUACCUAGCUCAAGUGAUCCUCCCACCGCACCCUCCUAAGUAGCUGGGACUACAGGCUUGGUCCUGUGAAUUACUUUGGUCAAUGAGACAUGAACAAAUAUGAUACAAGCAGAGGCUUUAAAAGACUUGCAUAUUGGAGCUUGCUCUCAUUUUCUGUACUUGGAAGUCUGCAAUUGCCAUCAUGUGAACAAGCCCUGGCUAGCCUCCUGGAUGAUUAUAGCCAAAUCACCUCCAUCACUCAAGGUGACAUUGAGUCAACUGCCUGAAGCCAUCCUAGACCAUCCAGCUUCAGCUGAAACAGCCCAGAAUAAGAAUCA